rnacentral:lncRNA from 1 species
ACAAAUCAGACUGAAAUCUAAAACAAAAGAUCACUCGAUUGGUCCUGAUCUAACAGUAAAUCGAUUUAAACAGAAGACAUAUUUGUUAACUGUUUAAACAAAAAUUCUUUCUCUUGAAGGUCCACUUAGACUCAAACCUUACUUGCCUUGAACACAUAAUUCCCUUUAGCCUUACACUGCACCCAAUUGAGACUUACAAACGGCAUUAUUCGGGACUUAAGGCGAUCUUGGGUUGUUUACGGCGAAGGUCGGGCGAUUAAAAGCGGAGCAAGAAAAAUAAAAGUUUGAAAAAACAUUUAAGUAAACAAAUCAAACUGUUUUCAAUCGAAACCACUGAUAGCAUCAAGAACCAACCGUGUGGCUCUGAUACCAUAUAACAGCGAGAUAAGUUUUUAAAAGAAAAACUUAAAUAGAAAAAGAAAAGAUUAAGAAGAUGACCGGUGAAUCGAUAAAGUAAUCUCUUUCUUUUAUUUAUAAACAUUUGAGGAAUGGAUUACAUUAAUUCCUAGACUAAAUGUUUAAGGGGGAAGAUCGAAGUAUUAAGGACUUCGUCUUCAUCUUUAACUAAGAAGGUCGAAGCUGAAAGCUUCGUCUCCGACUAACUCUAGAGAGAAGGGAGAGGACCUCGGAAGAGCUUUCUAGAGAGAGAAGCUCUGAGGCUACAUUGAAUUAAGCCUAAACAACUCUAAACACUUCGAGUUGUUUAAAUAUAAAACUAAAAAGUAAAUUACUAUUUGAUUCACGCAGGAAUCCCUAUUACAUUAACUGAAGUAAAAGUAAUUUACUAAAGUAAAAGUAAAACGUAAGAAAUAUUUUACAUUUACUUUUACAUUGGUAAAUGUAAGAAACAUUGAACUAAAGUUAAAAAUAUUUAACUUAAGUAAAAGCAAAAGUUAUUCUUUUACUUUUACUUUUACAUUUACUAAAGUAAAAGACUUUUGCUUUACGGAAAGUAAAAGCUGAGAUGAUGGCUGGGCCAUCACCUGUCUGUGACUUGAAGAUGCCUCUGGCGUCUUCUUCGUUGACUGGUCCGUCUCCUGUGGAUACCGGAAGGUGCUAUUGAUCAUCUUCUCAGAUGAGUCACCAUCCCCAUACAUUUCCACCUUAAAAAUUUUAUCCAGGAAAUAACCCUUUCACCCCCAAAAAUUUGGUUUAUAAAGAAGGAGGAAAAAAAAAAUUCUACCGAAAAUUGGUCAAAAUCUUCAAAAUUUUUUAGAUUUUGUAAAAAAAUUUUAUUUAAAAACAAAUCAGACAGAAAUCUAAAACAAAGGAUCACUCGAUUGGUCCUGAUCUAUCAGUAAAUCGAUUUAAAUAGAAGACAUAUUUGUUAACUGUUUAAACAAAAAUUCUUUCUCUUGAAGGUCCACUUAGACUCAAACCUUACUUGCCUUGAACACAUACCCGUAGAUCUAAAUAUUCCCUUUAGCCUUACACUGCUCCCAAUUGAGACUUACAAACGGAAUUAUUCGGGACUUAAGGCGAUCUUGGGUGGUUUACGGCGAAGGUCGGGCGAUUAAAAGCGGAGCAAGAAAAAUAAAAGUUUGAAAAAAUAUUUAAGUAAACAAAUAAAAUUGUUUUCAAUCGAAACCACUGAUAGCAUCAAGAGCCAACCGUGUGGCUUUGAUACCAUAUAACAGUGGGAUAAGUUUUUAAAAGAAAAACUUAAACAGAAAAAGAAAAGAUUAAGAAGAUGACCGGUGAAUCGAUAAAGUAAUAUCUUUCUUUUAUUUAUAAACAUUUGAGGAAGGGAUUACAUUAAUUCCUAGACUAAAUAUUUAAGGGGGAAGAUCGAAGUAUUAAGGACUUCGUCUUCAUCUUUAACUAAGAAG